AUACUUAUCUGGCGGGGGAGAUGCCAUGAUCAAGAGGGUGGUUUUCCCAGGGCGAGGCUUAUCCAUUGCACUCCGGAUGUGCUGACCCCUGCGAUUUCCCCAAAUGUGGGAAACUCGACUGCAUGAUUUGUGGUAGUGGAGGACCGCGUUUGCACUCUCCCCUG
rnacentral:snRNA from 1 species